GACGAACCGUGCGAACGUUGUUCGGAUUCACUGGGCUUAAAGGGCGCGUAGGCGGGCGGUCAAGUCAGGGGUGAAAUCUUUCGGCCUAACCGGAAAAGGGCCUCUGAUACUGGCCGUCUUGAGGGAGGUAGGGGCAUGCGGAACUUCCGGUGGAGCGGUGAAAUGCGUAGAUAUCGGAAGGAACGCCGGUGGCGAAAGCGGCGUGCUGGACCUCUUCUGACGCUGAGGCGCGAAAGCCAGGGGAGCGAACGGG
rnacentral:rRNA from 1 species